rnacentral:pre_miRNA from 1 species
UUAACUCAAAUUUGUACGGAGUUGGAACGUUUGUCUGCGUUUGCCGCUAGGGGCGCUGUUCUAACUGCAUACAAAUUUGAGUUA